GGUGUUUUGAUACAGGUCCUCCAGGAUGUGGUGAUACAGGUCCUCCAGGGUGUUUUGAUACAGGUCCUCCAGGAUGUGGUGAUACAGGUCCUCCAGGGUGUUUUGAUACAGGUCCUCCAGGAUGUGGUGAUACAGACCCUCCAGUGUGUUU